UGCCAGACUCCUACGGGAGGCAGCAGUGGGGGAUAUUGCACAAUGGGGGAAACCCUGAUGCAGCAACGCCGCGUGAGUGAAGAAGUAUUUCGGUAUGUAAAGCUCUAUCAGCAGGGAAGAGAAUGACGGUACCUGACUAAGAAGCCCCGGCUAACUACGUGCCAGCAGCCGCGGUAAUACGUAGGGGGCGAGCGUUAUCCGGAUUUACUGGGUGUAAAGGGGGCGCAGACGGCAGCGCAAGCCAGGAGUGAAAGCCCGGGGCGCAACCCCGGGACUGCUCUUGGAACUGCGCGGCUGGAGUGCAGGAGGGGCAGGCGGAAUUCCUGGUGUAGCGGUGAAAUGCGUAGAUAUCAGGAGGAACACCGGCGGCGAAGGCGGCCUGCUGGACCGCGACUGACGUUGAGGCUCGAAAGCGUGGGGAGCGAACAGGAUUAGAUACCCGAGUAAU
rnacentral:rRNA from 1 species